rnacentral:lncRNA from 1 species
ACACCACACACCACACACCAUAUCACACCUCACCUCACACUACAACACACCACACACCAUAUCACACAACAACACACCACACACCAUAUCACACUACAACACACCACACACCAUAUCACACUACACCACACCACACACCAUAUCACACUACACCACACCAUAUCACACUACAACACACCACACCACACCACAUCACACUACAACACACCACACACCAUAUCACACUACAACACACCACACACCAUAUCACACACCACACACCAUAUCACACUACAACACACCACACACCAUAUCACACUACACCACACACCACACACCAUAUCACACCUCACCUCACACUACAACACACCACACACCAUAUCACACAACAACACACCACACACCAUAUCACACUACAACACACACCAUAUCACACUACAACACACCAUAUCACACUAAAACACACACCAUAUCACACUACAACACACCACACACCAUAUCACACUACAACACACCACACACCACACACCAUAUCACACUACAACACACCACACACCAUAUCACACUACAACACACCACACACCAUAUCACACUACAACACACCACACACCAUAUCACACUACAACACACCACACACCAUAUCACACUACAACACACCAUAUCACACCACACACCAUAUCACACUACACACCACACACCAUAUCACACUACAACACACACCACACACCAUAUCACACUACACCACACACCAUAUCACACUACAACACACCACACACCAUAUCACACUACAACACACCACACACCAUAUCACACUACAACAUACCACACACCAUAUCACACUACAACACACCACACACCACACACCAUAUCACACUACAACACACAACACACCAUAUCACACUACAACACACCACACACCACACCAUAUCACACUACACCACACCACACACCAUAUCACACAACACACACCAUAUCACACUACAACACACCACACACCACACACCAUAUCACACUACAACACACCAUAUCACACUACAACACACCAUAUCACACUACAACACACCACACAUCAUAUCACACUACAACACACCAUAUCACACCACACACCACACACCAUAUCACACUACACCACACCACACACCAUAUCACACUACAACACACACCAUAUCACACCACACACAACACACCAUAUCACACUACACACCACACACCAUAUCACACAACACACACCAUAUCACACUACAACACACAACACACCAUUUCACACUACAACACACCAUAUCACACCACACACCAUAUCACACACCAUAUCACACUACACCACACCACACACCAUAUCACACUACACCACACACCACACACCAUAUCACACUACAACACACCAUAUCACACUACAACACACCACACACCAUAUCACACUACAACACACACCACAUCACACUACACACCACACACCAUAUCACACUACACCACACACCAUAUCACACUACACCUCACCACACACCAUAUCACACAACAACACACCACACACCAUAUCACACUACACCACACCACACACCAUAUCACACUACACCACACCACACACCAUAUCACACUACACCACACCACACACCAUAUCACACUACACCUCACCACACACCAUAUCACACUACAACACACUAUAUCACACUACACUACACACCACACACCAUAUCACACUACAACACACCACACACCACAUCACAUUACAACACACCACACACCAUAUCACACUACACCACACCACACAUCACAAUACAACACACCUCACACCAUAUCACACUACACCACACCACACACCAUAUCACACACCACACACCAUAUCACACUACACACCACACACCAUAUCACACUACAACACACCACACACCAUAUCACACUACACCACACACCAUAUCACAGUACAACACACCAUAUCACACACCAUAUCACACUACACACCAUAUCACACUACACCACACCAUAUCACACUACAACACACCAUAUCACACUACACUACACCACACCAUAUCACACUACACACCACACACCAUAUCACACAACAACACACCACACACCAUAUCACACUACACCACACCAUAUCACACAACAACACACCACACACCAUAUCACACUACACCACACCAUAUCACACUACACCACACACCAUAUCACACUACAACACACUACACACCAUAUCACACUACACCACACACCAUAUCACACUACAACACACUACACACCAUAUCACACAGCAACACACACCAUAUCACACUACACACCAUAUCACACUACACACCACACACACCAUAUCACACACACUACAACACACCACACCACACACCAUAUCACACCAUAUCACACUACACACCAUAUCACACUACACACCACACACCAUAUCACACUACACACCACACACCAUAUCACACUACAACACACCACACACCAUAUCACACCACACACCAUAUCACACCACACACCAUAUCACACUACUACACACCAUAUCACACUACACACCACACACCAUAUCACACUACACACCACACACCAUAUCACACUACACACCAUAUCACACUACACACCACACACCAUAUCACACUACACACCACACACCAUAUCACACUACAACACACCACACACCAUAUCACACUACACACCAUAUCACACUACAACACAACACACACUACACACCAUAUCACACUACACCACACCACACACCAUAUCACACUACACACCAUAUCACACUACAACACUACACACCACACACCAUAUCACAACACACACCAUAUCACACUACAACAAACCACACACCAUAUCACACUACAACACACCAUAUCACACUACAACACACCACACACCAUAUCACACCACACACCACACACCAUAUCACACUACAAUACAACACACCACACACCACACACCAUAUCACACUACAACACAACACAUCACACUACAACAAACCACACACCAUAUCACACUACAACACACCAUAUCACACUACACACCACACCACACACCAUAUCACACAACACACCACACACCAUAUCACACUACAACACACCAUAUCACACUACACCUCACACCAUAUCACACUACACCACACACCAUAUCACACUACAACACACACCACAUCACACAACAACACACCAUAUCACACUACAACACACCAUAUCACACUACAACACACACCAUAUCACACUACAACACACCAUAUCACACCAUAUCACACUACACCACAUCACACUACAACACACCAUAUCACACUACAACACACCACACACCAUAUCACACUACAACACACCAUAUCACACUACACCACACCACACACCAUAUCACACUACACCACACCACACACCAUAUCACACUACAACACACCAUAUCACACUACAACACACACCACACACCAUAUCACACUACAACACCACAUCACACUACAACACCACACACCAUAUCACACUACACCACACCACAUCACACUACAACACACCAUAUCACACUACAACACACACCACAUCACACUACAACACCACACACCAUAUCACACUACAACACCACACACCAUAUCACACUACAACACCACACACCAUAUCACACCACACACCAUAUCACACUACACCACAACACACACCAUAUCACACUACACCACAACACACACCAUAUCACACUACAACACACCAUAUCACACUACAACACACCACACACCAUAUCACACUACAACACACCACACACCAUAUCACACUACAACACACCACACACCAUAUCACACUACAACACACCAUAUCACACCACACACCACACACCAUAUCACACUACACCACAACACACACCAUAUCACACUACACACCACACACCAUAUCACACAACACACACCAUAUCACACUACAACACACAACACACCAUAUCACACUACAACACACCACACACCACAUCACACUACAACACACACCAUAUCACACUACAACACACCACACACCAUAUCACACUACACACUACACACCACACACCAUAUCACACUACAACACACCAUAUCACACUACAACAAACCACACACCAUAUCACACUACAACACACCUCACCUCACCUCACCCCACUUAACCCACGCUUAACUGCAUACACCACACCACACACCAUAUCACACUACAACACACCAUAUCACACUACACUACACCACACCAUAUCACACUACACACCACACACCAUAUCAUACAACAACACACCACACACCAUAUCACACUACACCACACCAUAUCACACUACACUACACCACACCAUAUCACACUACACACCACACACCAUAUCACACAACAACACACCACACACCAUAUCACACUACACCACACCAUAUCACACAACAACACACCACACACCAUAUCACACUACACCACACCAUAUCACACUACACCACACACCAUAUCACACUACAACACACUACACACCAUAUCACACUACACCACACACCAUAUCACACACCAUAUCACACUACAACACACUACACACCAUAUCACACAGCAACACACACCAUAUCACACUACACACCAUAUCACACUACACACCACACACACCAUAUCACACUACAACACACCACACCACACACCAUAUCACACCAUAUCACACUACACACCAUAUCACACUACACACCACACACCAUAUCACACUACACACCACACACCAUAUCACACUACAACACACCACACACCAUAUCACACCACACACCAUAUCACACCACACACCAUAUCACACUACUACACACCAUAUCACACUACACACCACACACCAUAUCACACUACACACCACACACCAUAUCACACUACACACCAUAUCACACUACACACCACACACCAUAUCACACUACACACCACACACCAUAUCACACUACAACACACCACACACCAUAUCACACUACACACCAUAUCACACUACAACACAACACACACUACACACCAUAUCACACUACACCACACCACACACCAUAUCACACUACACACCAUAUCACACUACAACACUACACACCACACACCAUAUCACAACACACACCAUAUCACACUACAACAAACCACACACCAUAUCACACUACAACACACCAUAUCACACUACAACACACCACACACCAUAUCACACCACACACCACACACCAUAUCACACUACAACACAACACACCACACACCACACACCAUAUCACACUACAACACAACACAUCACACUACAACAAACCACACACCAUAUCACACUACAACACACCAUAUCACACUACACACCACACCACACACCAUAUCACACUACAACACACCACACACCAUAUCACACAACACACCACACACCAUAUCACACUACAACACACCAUAUCACACUACACCUCACACCAUAUCACACUACACCACACGCCAUAUCACACUACAACACACACCACAUCACACAACAACACACCAUAUCACACUACAACACACCAUAUCACACUACAACACACUACAACACACACCAUAUCACACUACAACACACCAUAUCACACCAUAUCACACUACACCACACCACACACCAUAUCACACUACAACACACCAUAUCACACUACAACACACCACACACCAUAUCACACUACAACACACCAUAUCACACUACACCACACCACACACCAUAUCACACUACACCACACACCAUAUCACACUACAACACACCAUAUCACACUACACCACACACCACACACCAUAUCACACUACAACACCACACACCAUAUCACACUACAACACCACACACCAUAUCACACUACACCACACCACACACCAUAUCACACUACAACACACACCACACACCAUAUCACACUACAACACCACACACCAUAUCACACUACAACACCACACACCAUAUCACACUACACCACACCACACACCAUAUCACACUACAACACACCAUAUCACACUACAACACACACCACAUCACACUACAACACCACACACCAUAUCACACUACAACACCACACACCAUAUCACACUACAACACACCACACACCAUAUCACACUACAACACACCAUAUCACACAACAACACACCACACACCAUAUCACACAACAACACACCACAUCACACUACAACACACCACACACCAUAUCACACUACAACACACACCACACACCACACACCACACACCAUAUCACACACCAUAUCACACUACAACACACCACACACCAUAUCACACUACAACACACCACACACCAUACCACACAACCACACACCACACACCAUAUCACACUACAACACACCACACACCAUAUCACACUACACCACACCACACACCAUAUCACACUACAUCACACUACACCACACACAUCACACCACACACCACAACACACCACACACCAUAUCACACAACCACACACCACAGACCAUAUCACACUACAACACACCACACACCAUAUCACACUACAACACACCACAUAUCACACUACAACACACCACACACCAUAUCACACAACAACACACCUCACCACACACCAUAUCACACUACAACACACACCAUACACCAUAUCACACUACAACACACCAUAUCACACUACACACCACACACCACAUCACACUACACCACACACCAUAUCACACUAGAACACACCACAUCACACUACCACACACCAUAUCACACUACAACACACCAUAUCACACUACACAACACACACCAUAUCACACUACAACACACCACAUAUCACACUACAACACACCACACACCAUAUCACACAACAACACACCUCACCACACACCAUAUCACACUACAACACACACCAUAUCACACCACACCACACACCAUAUCACACUACAACACACCAUAUCACACAGCAACACACCUCACCACACACCACACACCAUAUCACACUACAACACACCACACACCAUAUCACACUACAACACACACCAUAUCACACUACAACACACCAUAUCACACUACACCUCACACCACACACCAUAUCACACUACACCACACACCAUAUCACACUACAACACACACCACAUCACACAACAACACACCAUAUCACACUACAACACACUACAACACACUACAACACACACCAUAUCACACUACAACACACCAUAUCACACACCACACACCAUAUCACACUACAACACACCAUAUCACACUACAACACACACCAUAUCACACUACACACCACACACCAUAUCACACUACACACCACACACCAUAUCACACUACAACACACCACACACCACACCACACUACAACACACACCAUAUCACACUACAACACACCACACACCAUAUCACACUACACACUACACACCACACACCAUAUCACACUACAACACACCAUAUCACACUACAACAAACCACACACCAUAUCACACUACAACACACCUCACCUCACCUCACCCCACUUAACCCACGCUUAACUGCAUACACCUCACACACCUCACCUAACCCACGCUUAACCGCACACACCUCACACACCACACCUCACCUAACCCACUGUUAACCGCACACACUACAACACACCUCACCUCACCUCACCCCACCUAACCUCAUAACGCUUAACCUCACACACCACACCACACCACACUUAACCUCACCUCAACUCACAGACCAUACCUCACACACCGCACCACACUUAACCUCUCACACCGCACCACACUUAACCUCACACACCUCACCUCAACACACACACCUCACACACCACACCACACCUCACCUCAACUCACAGAGCACACAUCACACACCUCACACACUACACCAUAGGUUGAGGGUGGGUUAAGCCUGAGGUGUCCGUCUCUUUCCUCCAGGUGUUAAGUAAUUCUUACUCUUGCAUGUUGGUUUAGAGAGAGAGACCACCCAAAGCAAUUUAGUUGUAACAAGUGUAGUUUUACUGGUAAAUAGUCACACAAAUUUCAGCCGGACUUGACUUCACACAGAGUUCCGUCAUGCC